GAUGAACGCUGGCGGCGUGCCUAAUACAUGCAAGUCGAGCGAACGGACGAGAAGCUUGCUUCUCUGAUGUUAGCGGCGGACGGGUGAGUAACACGUGGAUAACCUACCUAUAAGACUGGGAUAACUUCGGGAAACCGUAGCUAAUACCGGAUAAUAUUUUGAACCGCAUGGUUCAAAAGUGAAAGACGGUCUUGCUGUCACUUAUAGAUGGAUCCGCGCUGCAUUAGCUAGUUGGUAAGGUAACGGCUUACCAAGGCAACGAUUCAUAGCCGACCUGAGAGGGUGAUCGGCCACACUGGAACUGAGACACGGUCCAGACUCCUACGGGAGGCAGCAGUAGGGAAUCUUCCGCAAUGGGCGAAAGCCUGACGGAGCAACGCCGCGUGAGUGAUGAAGGUCUUCGGAUCGUAAAACUCUGUUAUUAGGGAAGAACAUAUGUGUAAGUAACUGUGCACAUCUUGACGGUACCUAAUCAGAAAGCCACGGCUAACUACGU
rnacentral:rRNA from 1 species